AUGAAAGAUCCUUCAGGUGGAAGACGAGAGGGAAAAGGCUGGGACGUGAGGCUGCGUGUGUGUGUGUGUGUGUGUGUGUGUGUGUGUGUGUGUACUGCUCGUGCGCAGGUGAGAAAAAAGGUAAAAAGGUCCGAGGGUCUAAACCCGGAACACCCCGCUCGGCCCGGGCCCGACCCGGAGGACCACCUCCGUCCCCGGGACACAGGCCCGAAAGUCUCCGGGCCGCCGAACGGCCCAGUCGGCCGGGAGGCGAGACGGAGCCAACCGACCUCGCGGCCGGGCCACACCUGGAGGCGGCUCCCGGCGAGCCCUCGACCUGCCCCGGGAGAGGCCGCGACCUGCCCCCCCGAGGCGCCGCCAGCCAGUCGGGGACGCCUCCCCGCCGCCCACGUGGGGCCCGGAGCCCGCGCUGCCCGCAGGCGCCGCCGGCGUCGGGCGCGGCGGCCGCGCUGCCAUGGCAACGGCGGCGCGCCUGCGCGCUGCGCCGGGCGGGUUGGGGCGGGGCGGGCUUUGUUAGGAGACGGGGCCGGGGGCGUCGGCUUCCGCGGCGCUCGCGCGGGCGGGCCCUCCCAGUGCUCCGGCGUCGCCGGCCGGGAGCCCGCGUGCGGCCCGGGGUUUCGGGGUCUGGGGGCCUCGGUCCUUCCGGCCACGCCCUUGGUUUCCAGACCCACGUAUUCACUCACUGAAGACACAAUGGCAAAUAAUGACCAUCAGUUUAAGGCACAUACUGCAUUCUAAAGGAUGAUGUCCAACCUCACAGAGUAUCAUGUCCGAGGUAGUACCCACCUCUGCCUUCCGAAUGUGGUUACGAUAUAGCAUGCUAGAGGCUUCUGAAUGCUAUAUUGUGGGAUCAGUAGAUUUCAUAGUCAUGUGCCCAUUAUCAUGACUCCUUUGUCAAAAAAAAAAAAAAAAAAAAAGGGGCAGACAAUGUCAUAUGGGAUCCUGUGUCCGUAAAUCAGACAUUUUGAGUUGUCAGAUAGUCGAUCCUGCCAAGGCAAUUCAGGCAGGAAAGGUGAGUUCAUACACUAAUUUGUAUCAAUCCCAGUCAGAACAAAAUGCUGCCACUUCCAGGGUGAGCAGUGUCCCACAUAAUCAACUUGCCACCAAGUCUUUGGUGUCCUGAAGGACACUAUACUGGGGACACAGAGUCGGUCUCUGUUGUCCACAGGUCAAACAUUCGCGGUGGCAGCACUAGAUCAGCUCUGGUGAGAAGGAGCCCAUGCUUUUUGACUCAUGCAUAACCUCCAUCUCUGCCACGACAACCAGGACAUUCAGAGACCUAUGCCUAUUGCACAGGGACCACAGUAGCUACGGACCAAGGCUGGCUGACAUUUACUGGACAAGACAUCCUGCC
rnacentral:lncRNA from 12 species